GACGAACGCUGGCGGCGUGCUUAACACAUGCAAGUCGAACGGUGAAGCUCCAGCUUGCUGGAGUGGAUCAGUGGCGAACGGGUGAGUAACACGUGAGCAACCUGCCCCUGACUCUGGAAUAAGCGCUGGAAACGGCGUCUAAUACUGGAUACGAGAAGGGUCCGCAUGGGCACCUUCUGGAAAGUUUUUCGGUUGGGGAUGGGCUCGCGGCCUAUCAGCUUGUUGGUGAGGUAAUGGCUCACCAAGGCGACGACGGGUAGCCGGCCUGAGAGGGCGACCGGCCACACUGGGACUGAGGCACGGCCCAGUCUCCUACGGGAGGCAGCAGUGGAGAAUAUUGCACAGUGGGCGAAAGCCUGAUGCAGAGACGCCGCGUGAGGGAUGACGGCCUUCGGGUUGUAAACCUCUUUCAGCAGGGAAGAAGCGAAAGUGACGGUACCUGCAGAAGAAGCACCGGCUAACUACGUG
rnacentral:rRNA from 1 species